GCUACGUCACAUGGUUAGACAGUCCCCCGCUCACUGCAGCGCUAGAUAGAAUUUCGUGGAAUAACACAAAUAUGCAAAAAAUAUAAACGUUCUGUCACAGCGAAAAUACUAAAUUUGGGAAGUCCAAUCGAUUGUGACAUUUGGCAUAUAAAUUGUAUGUGACACAUUUGCGUCGCAGGUUCACAAUUUUUACAUUUUCUGAGAUCUCUGCCAAGAAAGGAAGAAAGGAGCCGAUCUAAUCCCGCCCCCCACUUUAAACUUUCAACGCCAUUGGACAUAAUUUCACCCAGGCUCGUCACCAGUUUCAUAAUAUUCGGGGCUCAGUCCUGAAGACCAGGGGCUGAGAGGUUUGUGGAAUAGAAACAGGUGACCGGGAGCUCCACCAGGAGCUCAACUGGGAUCGGGAGCUCCACCGGGACCGGGAGCUCCACCGGGAUCACCGAGCGCUGUGACUUAUGGGUACUCUUCCGACCCGACACUAGAGCACAGAGAAAGACAGUUCUCUGGCAGUUUUGUGUUGAAGGUGAACGACCCUGGGAUUGGAUGCCGAAUGAAACAAACAUCUUCAUAUUCGAGUUAUAGGCUGGGACAAUCAUAUGGACCUCAUAAAUGGAAAGCAUUUCAAGUAUUCAAGUAACCUCAAACCAUAAUAGUAGUAGUAGUAACAAACACAGUGACAUCCCUUGUGACUUGUACGACAAAUCAAAAUACUACCAGAGAAAUAAUAAUAAUACUAACAGAGAGAAAAUACCCACUGACCAUCCAGCAGGCUGUUUUGUAGCGUGGGGUACUGCUGAAGGAGGUGGUCCCUGAAUACACAGCUCCAGAACAACUUAAUGCUGUGAGGUCUCUCUGUCUCCAGCCAGUCCAGCACCUUGUACACGCCCUUCCCAGUGAGCAAAAUUCAAUUGAAAAGACGUCUAUCAGCUAACCACAUCAUAUGUUAUAGCAUUCUGGUGCCCGACAUUACAGUGGACGAUGUGGCAUGCAAAAAUUGGUUGAUGCAUGCAACAUCUGAGCAGGGGAACACAACCCAGACUGGGGCAGUCCGGACUGGACAAAGUCCGAACUAAUCAUAGACAUCUACUGUACACUACAGGUCAAAAGUUUUAGAACACCUACUCAUUCAAGGCUUUUUCUUUAUUUUUACUAUUUUCUACAUUGUAGAAUACUAGUGAAGACGCCAAAACAAUGAAAUAACACAUAUGGAAUCAUGUAGUAACCAAAAAAGUGUUAAACAAAUCAAAAAUAUAUUUCAUCUUUGAGAUUCUUUCAAUAGCCACCCUUUGCCUUGAUGACAGCUUUGCACACUCUAGGCAUUCACUCAACCAGCUUCAUGAGGAAGGCACCUGGAAUGCAUUUCAAUUAACAGUUGUGCCUUCUUAAAAGUUAAUUUGUGGAAUUAAUUUCCUUCUUAAUGCGUUUGAGCCAAUCAGUUGUGUUGUGACAAGGUGGGGAUAGGUCAUACAGAAGAUAGCCCUAUUUGGUAAAAUACCAAGUCCAUAUUAUGGCAUGAACAGCUCAAAUAAGCAAAGAGAAACGACACUCCAUCAUUACUUUAAGACAUGAAGGUCAGUCAAUACGGAAUAUUUCAAGAACUUUUAAAGUUUAUUAAAGUGCACUUUCAAAAACCACCAAGCACUAUGAUGAAACUGGCUCUCAUGAGGACCGCCACAGGAAUGGAAGACCCAGAGUUACCUCUGCUGCAGAGGACAAGUUCAUUAGAGUUACCAGCCUCAGAAAUUGCAGCCCAAAUAAAUGCUUCACAGAGCUUAGGUAAGAUACACAUCUCAACAUAAACCGUUCAGAGGACUGUGUGAAUCAGGCCUUCAUGGUCAAAUUGCUGCAAAAAACACUACUAAAGGACACCAAUAAGAAGAAGAGACUUGCUUGGGCCAAGAAACACGAGCAAUGGACAUUAGACCGGUGGAAAUUUGUCCUUUGGUCUGGAGUCAACAUUUUGAGAUUUUUGGUUCUAACUGCUGUGUCUUUGUGAGACGCGGUGUGGGGAAUGGACAAUCUCCGCAUGUGUAUUUCCCACUGUAAAGCAUGGAGGAGGAAGUGUUAUGGUGUGGGGGUGCUUUGCUGGUGACACUGUCUGUGAUUUACUUAGAAUUCAAGGCACAGGCCUCCCAGGUGGCGCAGUGGUCUAGGGCACUGCAUCGCAGCGCUAGCUGCGCCACCAGAGACUCUGGGUUCGCGCCCAAGCUCUGUCGCAGCCGGCCGCGACCGGGAGGUCCGUGGGGCGACGCGCAAUUGGCCUAGCGUCGUCUGGGUUAGGGAGGGUUUGGCCGGUAGGGAUAUCCUUGUCUCAUCGUGCACCAGCGACUCCUGUGGUGGGCUGGGCGCAGUGCGCGCUAACCAAGGGGGCCAGGUGCACGGUGUUUCCUCCGACACAUUGGUGCGGCUGGCUUCCGGGUUGGAUGCGCGCUGUGUUAAGAAGCAGUGCGGCUUGGUUGGGUUGUGUUUCGGAGGACGCACGGCUUUCGGCCUUCGUCUCUCCCGAGCCCGUACAGGAGUUGUAGUGAUGAGACAAGAUAGUAACUACUAACAAUUGGAUACCAUGAAAUUGGGGAGAAAAGGUGGUAAAAUAAAAAAUAAUACAAAAAAAUUAAAAAGAAUUCAAGGCACAGCAUUCUGCAGCGAUACGCCAUGACAUCUGGUUUGGGCUUAGUGGGACUAUCAUUUGUUUUUCAACAGGACAAUGACCCAACACCGCCAGGCUGUGUAAGGGCUAUUUGACCAAGAAGGAGAGUGAUGGAGUGCUGCAUCAGAUGACCUGGCCUCCACAAUCACCUGACCUCAACCAAAUUGAGAUGGUUUGGGAUGAGUCGGACCGCAGAGUGAAGGAAAAGCAGCCAACAAGUGCUCAGCAUAUGUGGGAACGCCUUCAAGUCUGUUGGAAAAGCAUUCCAGGUGAAGCUGGUUGCCAAGAGUGUGCAAAGCUGUCAUCAAGGCAAAGGGUGGCUAUUUGAAGAAUCUCAAAUAUAAAAUUGGUUACUACAUGAUUCCAUAUGUGUUAUUUCAUAGUUUUGAUGUCUUCACUAUUAUUCUACAAUGUAGAAUAUAGUAAAAUAAAGAAAAACCCUUGAAUGAGUAGGUGUUCUAAAACUUUGACCGGUAUAGUAGAGUGCAGUACAGUAAAGUAUAGUAGAGUACAGUAGGGUAUGGACAUUUUUGGUAUAGGGACACGUCAUCUCCACUUUCGAGUCUGUCCGACCAGGGCCGGCGUCAUGGGCAGCCCCGUUAUGGGUGGCGCGCGUCUCGUCAUUUAUUUGACCGAGACGCGCGCCGACAGAAAGACGCAUAAAUCUCAAAUAAAGCAUCCGUGCUUGUGAAACAGUGUCCCUCUGGUUAGUAGACCAUGUAUCUUGUGCUGUCUGGACAAAAGGAGUAUGGCAUGUCAUACUUUUUCUGGCCAGACAGCAUCAGACACACGGGCUACAUAGUAAGAUAGAGGGGCGCUGUUUCGCUUGCUAGUUUCAGCAGAGAGAAAGAGGCGAUGCGAGAGGGCUCACUCUCUACAAAAUCUGAUCUGAAUAAGUCCAAUGCAUUUCUAUGGGCAUAAGCAGACCUAAGCUUGUCACCUGCAUUCCCGCCUUUGGGACAACGACAGGGCAGGGAUAUGAGCAUCUCAUAAUUAUAUACAGAGCCACUUGUGUCAUUAUAUUUCAGCCUCUUGCGAAUUAGAAAGGAAAGUUGACGAGUGCACAGUACACUGUUCGUAUGCUGGCUUCCCCUAAAUUAAAAUGAUGUUUUGACAAAAUUAUAUAAUUAUUCCUGUCUAAAUAAAAUCAUUCAAAAUACUUUACCAGAGAGUUUGACUUAGCCACAGAUGAUCAUUAGCUUAUUUUUUUAUUUUUUAAAUAGCUGUGGAUAGACCUGUCUAUUUGGGAAACCAGCCAUUUGGGCAGCACGCAUGGCAAUAGGCCUAGUUGAUUAUUGAGUUGAGGCUGUCAGUGAAAAGCAUCUAAUAUGUGUGAAGAUAAUGUGUCUUGAGUAUAAUUUAAAAUGUUAAGACAAGAAGAAGGGGAGGGGUGUGUGGCGAAGAUAUGAGCGUCUCUCUCUCAAAAUGCAUGCACUCAGCUCUCCAGAAUGUGCUCCGCUGUCUCCCACCAAUUCUUGCGCAUUCAUGGUUUCAUUGUGUGAGUUGUUUGCCCUUUGAUUGUUUAUUUUGAUCAAUUCCCCGUUACAUAUGUCACCAGUAGGCCUAGUAAAUGUACCGUUAAUCCCUGUAAUUUGGUUACAUUAAUUUCUGUUAACACAUGUAUUAGAGUCAUUUACCUUUAUCAUUCUCAGAGCGGAAACGUUGUUUGCAGAGUUCACAGCCUGCUACACUUGUGAGAAACAAGUUUUGGUUAAUUUCAUAACCAUCAUUUAGGAGUUUUAUCAUUUUUUUCAUUGUCUUUUGUUUGGAGUGCUCCAUGUGAGUAAUGAGCAUGUGUGUGGUUUCUCUGUCCUGAUGACUUUGAGAGAUUGUAUGAGCCUGAGCACCCCAACCUGCUGAGUUGAUACAAUGUUGCAUGAUAGCUCAAGUCAAGACAAAGAGAAAGGGAGGCAGACAGGCUGAGUAUAGUGAUUCAUGCGAUUGAAAGAACCUGCAUUUUCAUCAGGAUAUUUUUAGACUGUUUUUAUUUGUCGGCUUUAGGCCUAUGUAUUUAACUUAGUUGACAAUAGAAGUUAUAGGCCUACUGCUGCAUUAGCCUAUCGCCUAGGCUAUGUCCCUGAGUUCCAUGUGCUAAUUUCUUUAGCCGCAAAUGAACCUGUCACACCCUGAUCUGUUUCACCUGUCUUUGUGCUUAUCUCCACCCCCUUCCAGGUGUCGCCCAUCUUCUCCAUUAUCCCCAGUGCAUUUAUACCUGUGUUCUCUGUUUGUUUGUUGCCAGUUCGUCGUGUCUCGUCAAGCGUACCAGCGAGGAUUUUUUCCGUGCUCCUGGUUUUUCUAGUCCUCCCGGUUCCGACCUUUUCUGCCACCCUGUUUCCUCGGACUCUGACCUGGUUAAUGAACCUCUGCCUGUCCUCAACCUGCCUAUUGCCUGCCUCUUGUAUUUAAUAAAUAUUAGAGACUCAAA